rnacentral:rRNA from 1 species
CUGGCGGUAGGCCUAACACAUGCAAGUCGAACGGCAGCACAGAGGAGCUUGCUCCUUGGGUGGCGAGUGGCGGACGGGUGAGGAAUACAUCGGAAUCUACUCUGUCGUGGGGGAUAACGUAGGGAAACUUACGCUAAUACCGCAUACGACCUACGGGUGAAAGCAGGGGAUCUUCGGACCUUGCGCGAUUGAAUGAGCCGAUGUCGGAUUAGCUAGUUGGUGGGGUAAAGGCCCACCAAGGCGACGAUCCGUAGCUGGUCUGAGAGGAUGAUCAGCCACACUGGGACUGAGACACGGCCCAGACUCCUACGGGAGGCAGCAGUGGGGAAUAUUGGACAAUGGGCGAAAGCCUGAUCCAGCCAUACCGCGUGGGUGAAGAAGGCCUUCGGGUUGUAAAGCCCUUUUGUUGGGAAAGAAAUCCAGCCGGCUAAUACCUGGUUGGGAUGACGGUACCCAAAGAAUAAGCACCGGCUAACUUCGUGCCAGCAGCCGCGGUAAUACGAAGGGUGCAAGCGUUACUCGGAAUUACUGGGCGUAAAGCGUGCGUAGGUGGUUAUUUAAGUCCGUUGUGAAAGCCCUGGGCUCAACCUGGGAACUGCAGUGGAUACUGGAUGACUAGAAUGUGGUAGAGGGUAGCGGAAUUCCUGGUGUAGCAGUGAAAUGCGUAGAGAUCAGGAGGAACAUCCAUGGCGAAGGCAGCUACCUGGACCAACAUUGACACUGAGGCACGAAAGCGUGGGGAGCAAACAG